rnacentral:rRNA from 1 species
CCAUGAAAGUGGCGCACGGGUGCGUAACGCGUAUGCAACCUACCUUAAUCAGGGGGAUAGCCUCUCGAAAGAGAGAUUAACACCGCAUAAAAUCACAGUACAGCAUUGUACAAUGAUCAAAUAUUUAUAGGAUUAAGAUGGGCAUGCGUGACAUUAGCUAGUUGGUAAGGUAACGGCUUACCAAGGCAACGAUGUCUAGGGGAUCUGAGAGGAUGACCCCCCACACUGGUACUGAGACACGGACCAGACUCCUACGGGAGGCAGCAGUAAGGAAUAUUGGUCAAUGGAGGCAACUCUGAACCAGCCAUGCCGCGUGCAGGAAGACGGCCCUACGGGUUGUAAACUGCUUCUGUACGGGAAUAAACCUCUUUACGAGUAAGGAGUUGAAUGUACUGUAAGAAUAAGGAUCGGCUAACUCCGUGCCAGCAGCCGCGGUAAUACGGAGGAUCCAAGCGUUAUCCGGAUUUAUUGGGUUUAAAGGGUGCGUAGGCGGCUUAUUAAGUCAGGGGUGAAAGACGGAGGCUCAACCAUCGCAGUGCCUUUGAUACUGAUGAGCUUGAAUGAACUAGAGGUAGGCGGAAUGUGACAAGUAGCGGUGAAAUGCAUAGAUAUGUCACAGAACACCGAUUGCGAAGGC